rnacentral:RNase_P_RNA from 2 species
CCAGUUUGAAGGCCACGACGCUCACUACGCACAGGAUGCUUCCGCAUCUUAUUUCUUGAGCAGGUCAAGGUCUGGAUAACCCCUUUGUGAUCCUAACUGGAUCCAGCUAUAAACGGCUGAGCGACAUACCAGAAAAGCAGCCUGUCAUCAGCUUAGCCUUAAGAUCCCACGGGGGAGGGCGUAGAUGAUACGCUUUGGAAACUGUCGCUGGGGGUUGGGCAGAUGUCAACUUAUGGUGCUGAUGUCACAUCUCUAUCGCGCAAAUUGUGCUGUUAAGCGCGGCAGGUGGUGCUUCGUGUGCCGCCUGUUAAAUGCGAACCGAGAAAUGAGCUAGCAUGAAUCCCGAUGUGCACUGGUCGUGUAACCUUUCAUACCCAUUGGGAUGACCUGCAAAUAUGUGGCAGUGAUACCUCCUGGACGUUGGUCAAUCGGUAUGCGCAUGCGCAUAUCGUUGAUCCUGUCUGGUAUGAUUGCUGCGAAGUGCUUUGCCCUUGUCCUCUGGGUGAAGGGACGCACGCACAUAGCCAGGCCUCCUGGAUUCAUCAGGCGAGUUCCUUUUGCGUACGAAGAGAUGUCUGUGCUAUGAAGACGUCCGUCCUUUGUUCGUGUCGGAGCUCGCGUUUCCUCUGGAAACGUGAAACCUAGUCCAGACUACUCUUUCACUGG